rnacentral:rRNA from 1 species
UACGGAGGGGGCUAGCGUUGUUCGGAAUUACUGGGCGUAAGGCGCGCGUAGGCGGCUUUGUAAGUUAGAGGUGAAAGCCCAGGGCUCAACCCUGGAAUUGCCUUUAAGACUGCAUCGCUUGAACAUCGGAGAGGUAAGUGGAAUUCCGAGUGUAGAGGUGAAAUUCGUAGAUAUUCGGAAGAACACCAGUGGCGAAGGCGACUUACUGGACGAUUGUUGACGCUGAGGUACGAAAGCGUGGGGAGCAAACAGG